rnacentral:rRNA from 1 species
AACGAACGCUGGCGGCAGGCUUAACACAUGCAAGUCGAGCGCUCCGCAAGGGGAGCGGCAGAUGGGGGAGUAACGCGUGGGAAUCUACCCAUCUCUACGGAAUAACGCAUGGAAACGUGUGCUAAUACCGUAUACGUCCUUCGGGAGAAAGAUUUAUCGGAGAGGGAUGAGCCCGCGUUGGAUUUGCUAGUUGGUGGGGUAAAGGCCUACCAAGGCGACGAUCCAUAGCUGGUCUGAGAGGAUGAUCAGCCACACUGGGACUGAGACACGGCCCAGACUCCUACGGGAGGCAGCAGUGGGGAAUAUUGGACAAUGGGCGCAAGCCUGAUCCAGCCAUGCCGCGUGAGUGAUGAAGGCCCUAGGGUUGUAAAGCUCUUUCACCGGUGAAGAUAAUGACGGUAACCGGAGAAGAAGCCCCGGCUAACUUCGUGCCAGCCGCCGCAGUAACAC